AUUGGGAAGAGAAAAGCGGCCGCUAGGCCACCCCCUAGGAAGUGGAUGGACAAACUCGAUACGGUCUUUUCCUGCCCAUUCUGCAAUCAUGGGAGCAGCGCUGAAUGCCGGAUUGAUACGAAGAACCUGAUUAGUGAGGCUAAUUGUCAAAUCUGCCAGGAAAGCUUCAGCACCACUGCAAAGAAGUUCAACCUACCACAUUAUUUUCUUGUUAAUGUAUUUUAA
rnacentral:rRNA from 1 species